rnacentral:rRNA from 1 species
GACGAACGCUGGCGGCGCGCCUAACACAUGCAAGUCGAACGAGCAAAGAGGAGCUUGCUUCUCUGAGCGAGUGGCGAACGGGUGAGUAACGCGUGAGGAACCUGCCUCAAAGAGGGGGACAACAGUUGGAAACGACUGCUAAUACCGCAUAAGCCCACGGGUCGGCAUCGACCAGAGGGAAAAGGAGCAAUCCGCUUUGAGAUGGCCUCGCGUCCGAUUAGCUAGUUGGUGAGGUAAUGGCCCACCAAGGCGACGAUCGGUAGCCGGACUGAGAGGUUGAACGGCCACAUUGGGACUGAGACACGGCCCAGACUCCUACGGGAGGCAGCAGUGGGAAUAUUGCACAAUGGGGGAAACCCUGAUGCAGCGACGCCGCGUGGAGGAAGAAGGUCUUCGGAUUGUAAACUCCUGUUGUUGAGGAAGAUAAAUGACGGUACUCAACAAGGAAGUGACGGCUAAACUACGUG